rnacentral:rRNA from 1 species
AAACCGGGCACUACGGCGAGACGUGAAAACACCCCGAUCCCAUUCCGACUUCGAUA